GAGACAGCAGUCGCCGCGGGAAUACAGAGGGUGCGAGCGUUAAUCGGAUUUACUGGGCGUAAAGCGUGCGUAGGCGGCUUUUUAAGUCGGAUGUGAAAUCCCUGAGCUUAACUUAGGAAUUGCAUUCGAUACUGGGAAGCUAGAGUAUGGGAGAGGAUGGUAGAAUUCCAGGUGUAGCGGUGAAAUGCGUAGAGAUCUGGAGGAAUACCGAUGGCGAAGGCAGCCAUCUGGCCUAAUACUGACGCUGAGGUACGAAAGCAUGGGGAGCAAACAGGAUUAGAUACCCGAGUAGUCCCUGUCUCUUAUAA
rnacentral:rRNA from 1 species